rnacentral:rRNA from 1 species
CCUACGGGGGACAGCAGUGGGGAAUAUUGCGCAAUGGGCGAAAGCCUGACGCAGCGACGCCGCGUGAGGGAUGAAGGUCUUCGGAUCGUAAACCUCUGUCAGCAGGGAAGAACGGUCACUGUGCUAAUCAGCAGUGAAUUGACGGUACCUGAAUAAGAAGCCCCGGCUAACUACGUGCCAGCAGCCGCGGUAAUACGUAGGGGGCAAGCGUUAUCCGGAAUUACUGGGUGUAAAGGGUGAGUAGGCGGCAUGGUAAGCCAGAUGUGAAAGCCUUGGGCUUAACCCGAGGAUUGCAUUUGGAACUAUCAAGCUAGAGUACAGGAGAGGAAAGCGGAAUUCCUAGUGUAGCGGUGAAAUGCGUAGAUAUUAGGAAGAACACCAGUGGCGAAGGCGGCUUUCUGGACUGAAACUGACGCUGAGGCACGAAAGCGUGGGGAGCGAACAGGAUUAGAUACCCCAGUAGUC